CCUUAAGCCUAGGAGAGAUAAAACUUAACUCAUAAGAAAUACAGUGCUUAACUAGAGCCUUCAUUUCCUUCAAUGAUUACAAUAUUCAGUCUUUCCAUAAAUGUAUGCUCUAGAUGAUCUGGUGCUCAUUAUUCCAUAAAUUAGUGGAACUGUAGGAUUGAUGUGCAUAGUGAAGGAACUUCACAUUCAGGAGUUCAGGGCCACAGCAGAUAAAUGUAUUUGAAAGUAAAGUUUAGGUAUCCAGUGGCAGCAGUAACAUGGAACGUACACGGAAUGUACAUGGAAUGAUUUCUGUAGUGAGUCUGCUUGGGAUGGAGUUAACUUUCACUGCAGCACCGUAUUUAAUGCUGUGCUUUGACUUACAAGUAAAACAUGGGUGUUGAUAUCACACCAGUGGUUUGACUAUUGCAUAGCAGUGCUGGCACAGCAUCAAGGCUGUCUCUCCCUCUCUCCUUUUGGUAUUAGACAGGAGCUGAGGUGGGGACAUCACCAGAAUACGUGACCAAAGCAUAUUCUGUCCAUAUGAUGUCAUGUUUAACAAUAAAAGCUGGACGAUGAAAAGGAAAAGAAUACUCAAAAUACAAAAGCAUUUGUCUUCUCAAGAAGGGCCUCUCUUCUCCUCCCCUCCUCUCCCAUCCCCUUUCCUCACCACUCCUUUUCUUUCCACAUAAGACAGCAGAGUGUUGGAGUGUAGCUGUCUAUCACUGUGAUACCACCACAAUUUCUUAGCCUUCUCCAGCAGUCACCUUUUCAUUGCAGUCAGAGUUCUCUGCAAAGAACAGCUGGAGCACUGCAAAAAAGUGCAUGGAGGGAAGUCUCCUGGUUUACAAAAUUAGAGAAGAAAAUAAUAGGAGAGAGGAGGAGAGAG